rnacentral:lncRNA from 1 species
CUCAAAACUGUAUGAUUAGUACCUUUGUAAAUAAUGCCUUUUACUUUUAAUAUUCUUAGGAUGUAUUGUGUACUGUGUUUUUUUAUCAUGUUUAUUUCAUGCAUGCAAACAAUUCGAUUGGGGGUAUUGCUGUACAUCUAAAAGACAAUAAACAAAUCUUGUUUCAUAUCAUUGUGUAACCAGCCUAAUCCGACACCUGAGUAUUCAAACAUCCUGCUUUAACCGACACAUUUUCAUGGUCCCAAAAUAUGCCAAUCUUGCCGAAAAAACCUCAGUAUCUCGAGUCCUUGCUUAAUCCGACAUUUUUUCUGCCCCCCCCCCCCCCCCCCCCCCGUUUUGUCGGAUAACACAGGUUACACUGUAUCUUCAUUAAAAUACACCACGAUACCCAAAUCGGAUUAACAUGGUUUUUGAUCUCGUCUACUCAAAACUCUACAAAUCAAGAUAUAUAAUGAAAUAUGAGAUUUUUUUCUGGUCC